rnacentral:rRNA from 1 species
UGGCUCAGAACGAACGCUGGCGGCAUGCCUUACACAUGCAAGUCGAACGGCAGCAUGGAGGAGCUUGCUCCUCUGAUGGCGAGUGGCGAACGGGUGAGUAAAGCAUCGGAACGUGCCGUGUAGUGGGGGAUAACGUAGCGAAAGUUACGCUAAUACCGCAUACGCACCGAGGUGGAAAGCAGGGGAUCGCAAGACCUUGUGCUAUACGAGCGGCCGAUGUCAGAUUAGCUAGUUGGUAGGGUAAAGGCCUACCGAGGAGACGAUCUGUAGCGGGUCUGAGAGGAUGAUCCGCCACA